CACGUAGGCACCAAGCGUUGUCCGGAUUUAUUGGGCGUAAAGAGCUCGUAGGCGGUUCAGUAAGUCGGGUGUGAAAACUUUGGGCUUAACCCAAAGCGUGCAUCCGAUACUGCUGUGACUUGAGUUCGGUAGGGGGAGCGGGGAAUUCCUAGUGUAGCGGUGAAAUGCGCAGAUAUUAGGAGGAACACCGGUGGCGAAGGCGGCCGCUCUGG
rnacentral:rRNA from 1 species